GGAUGUGUAGUGGCUUGUAUGGUGGACUAUGACUCCGGAUACCAGGGUUCGAUUCCCUGCUUGUCCA